CGGGAGGCACCAGCAGUGAGGAAUAUUGCACAAUGGGGGGAACCCUGAUGCAGCAACGCCGCGUGGAGGAUGACGCAUUUCGGUGUGUAAACUCCUUUUAUAUGUCAAGAAAAUGACGGUAGCAUAUGAAUAAGCACCGGCUAACUCCGUGCCAGCAGCCGCGGUAAUACGGGGGGUGCAAGCGUUACUCGGAAUCACUGGGCGUAAAGGACGCGUAGGCGGGUUGGAAAGUCAGGUGUGAAAUCCUACAGCUUAACUGUAGAACUGCACUUGAAACUUCUAAUCUAGAGUAUGGAGGGGGAGAUGGAAUUAGUGGUGUAGGGGUAAAAUCCGUAGAUAUCACUAGGAAUACCUAAAGCGAAGGCGAUCUCCUGGAACAUUACUGACGCUAAGGCGUGAAAGCGUGGGGAGCAAACAGGAUUAGAUACCCGUGUAGUC
rnacentral:rRNA from 1 species